rnacentral:lncRNA from 1 species
UAAAAAUAAGAAAAUAAUAGGUGUUACAGUUACAUUACGAGCACAACAUAUCUAAAUAGUAUCCAACACAUUGUUAAUUCAAUGGAAAAUUUCAGCCGGGUAUAGAUAUAAAUUUACGAGUAGUGACAAGUCUGGCAUAUCGAGAGGACGAACGCUUGUCGAGUGGAGUCAUGUCUGUAUGGGAGAAAUGAAUGAAAAAUCAGUGGAGGGCUUCAUCGACAAGUAUGCAUCGAGUAAAUUGGUUAUAUUCUGAAGAGAGGCCAAAUUAAGAGUAUCCGCUGUAAUCGGGUGCGCGCAUGGGGAGAGGAAAAGACAUAAAUCCGAUAAAAUGCCGUUAAUCAUCCACUGUUGAACAUAGGCCUUCCCAGUAGUUGCCACGCGGUUGCCAACCUACCUGCAAUUAGGCUUUGGUGAUGUUUUCAGAGAAACGCCGCUGCUCAUCCUUUGACCAUUAAGUUCUCUACGAAUAUAUGAUCUAUACGAAGCUCAAAUUUCUACAUUACUGAAAGGGCAAUCAUGGUGCUAUUCUGCUAGUUAUUAUGACAAUUACACGAUGAAAACUAAGAAUAAACAAGCAAGAUAAUUAGCAACUAU